rnacentral:rRNA from 1 species
GACGAACGCUGGCGGCGUGCUUAACACAUGCAAGUCGAACGGAGUGGCGAACGGGUGAGUAAUACGUGGGUGAUCUGCCUUGCACUUCGGGAUAAGCUUGGGAAACUGGGUCUAAUACCGGAUAGGGCAGGAUGAGCUCGGGGCCUAUCAGCUUGUUGGUGGGGUAAUGGCCUACCAAGGCGUCGACGGGUGGCCGGCCUGAGAGGGUGUACGGCCCCAUUGGGCCUGAGGUACGGGCCAGACUCCUACGGGGGGCAGCGGUGGGGAAUAUUGCACAAUGGGCGGAAGGCUGAUGCAGGGACGCCGCGUGGGGGAUGAAGGCCUUUGGGGUGUAAACUCCUUUCGACAGGGACGCGGUACCUGGAUAAGAAGCACCGGCUAACUACGUGCCAGCAGCCGCGGUAAUAC